AUGAGCAUGAUUUUCAGGUAUAGGUUUUGAUGAAUGACAAACAAUAAAGUCAAGUGUCAAACAAUGAUAUUAUAUGACAAACAAUAAAGAGUGAAUGCCAAGAAGCAUAUUGAUGACGGAAUUGCAUAGAUAAGCCAAAAACGAGUUCAAAAGUUCAAGACCAAAGACCCAAGGCGUAGGUCGUUAGGUAGAACAAAUGUAAGAGCAACGUUUAAAGUUAUCUCGUCUUUUG
rnacentral:lncRNA from 1 species